rnacentral:rRNA from 1 species
GUCCACGCCGUAAACGAUGGCCACUCGGCCUUUGCGGGCGGAUCAUCCGUCCGUGGGGGCCUUAGCUAACGCGGGAAGUGGCCCGCCUGGGAACUACGAGCGCAAGCUUAAAACUCAAAGGAAUUGACGGGGGCCCGCACAAGCAGCGGAGCGUGUGGUUUAAUUCGACGCAACGCGCAGAACCUUACCCAGGUUGGACAUGCCACUGCACGCCGGUGAAAGCCGGUCGCCUUCGAGGGUGUGGCACAGAUGCUGCAUGGCUGUCGU